GAUGAACGCUAGCGACAGGCUUAAUACAUGCAAGUCGAGGGGCAGCGCAGUGUAGCAAUACAUGGGCGGCGACCGGCAAACGGGUGCGUAACACGUACGCAACCUUCCCGUUACUGUGGGAUAGCCCGGGGAAACUUGGAUUAAUACCACAUAUUGCCAUUGGGAGGCAUCUCUUGAUGGCCAAAGAAUUUCGGUAACGGAUGGGCGUGCGGUUGAUUAGGUAGUUGGCGGGGUAACGGCCCACCAAGCCUACGAUCAAUAGCUGAUGUGAGAGCAUGAUCGGCCACACGGGCACUGAGACACGGGCCCGACUCCUACGGGAGGCAGCAGUAAGGAAUAUUGGGCAAUGGACGCAAGUCUGACCCAGCCAUACCGCGUGGGUGAAGAAGGCCUUCGGGUUGUAAAGCCCUUUUGUUGGGAAAGAAAUCCAGCUGGCUAAUACCCGGUUGGGAUGACGGUACCCAAAGAAUAAGCACCGGCUAACUUCGUGCCAGCCGCCGCCGUAACAC
rnacentral:rRNA from 1 species